GUCUUUUUGAAUUUUAAUAUAAAGUCUAGUCUGCCCUAUGAAAAUAUUUAAAUGGCCGCAGUAUUUUAACUGUGCGAAGGUAGCAUAAUCAUUAGUCUUUUAAUUGGAGGCUUGUAUGAACGAUUGGACGAGGCAUAAGCUGUCUUAAAGUAAAUUUAAUUAAAACUUUAUUUUUUAGUGAAAAAGCUAAAAUUUUUUUAAAAGACGAGAAGACCCUAUAGAUCUUUAUAAUUUAAAAUAUUAUUAUAAAAUAGGAUUUAUAUUUGUAUAAUAUUUAUAUUAUUUUGUUGGGGUGACAUUGAAAUUAUAAUAACUUUCAAUAUUUUAAAACAUAAAUUUAUGAAAUUUUGAUCCUUUAUUAUAGAUUAAUAAUUUAAGUUACCUUAGGGAUAACAGCGUAAUUAUUUUGGAGAGUUCAAAUCGAUAAAAUAGAUUGCGACCUCGAUGUUGGAUUAAGAUUAAUUCUAGGAGUAGAAGCUUAGAAUAUUAAGUCUGUUCGACUUUUAAUUUCUU
rnacentral:rRNA from 1 species